GACGAACGCUGGCGGCGUGCUUAACACAUGCAAGUCGAGCGGUAAGGCCCUUUCGGGGGUACACGAGCGGCGAACGGGUGAGUAACACGUGGGUGACCUGCCCUCAGCUCUGGGAUAAGCCUGGGAAACCGGGUCUAAUACCGGAUAUGACUCCAUGACGCAUGUUGUGGGGUGGAAAGCCUUGUGCGGCUGAGGAUGGGCCCGCGGCCUAUCAGCUUGUUGGUGGGGUGANGGCCUACCAAGGCGACGACGGGUAGCCGGCCUGAGAGGCGACCGGCCACACUGGGACUGAGACACGGCCCAGACUCCUACGGGAGGCAGCAGUGGGGAAUCUUGCGCAAUGGGCGAAAGCCUGACGCAGCGACGCCGCGUAAGGGAUGACGGCC
rnacentral:rRNA from 1 species